CUUUAUAGCUUGCUAUGAUAAAAAUUAGUGGCAGACGGGUGAGUAAUGCAUAGGAAUCUACCUAGUAGUAUGGGAUAGCCACUAGAAAUGGUGGGUAAUACUGUAUAAUCCCUGCGGGGGAAAGAUUUAUCGCUAUUAGAUGAGCCUAUGUUAGAUUAGCUAGUUGGUAGGGUAAAGGCCUACCAAGGCAGUGAUCUAUAGCUGGUCUGAGAGGAUGAUCAGCCACACUGGAACUGAGAUACGGUCCAGACUCCUACGGGAGGCAGCAGUGGGGAAUAUUGGACAAUGGGCGCAAGCCUGAUCCAGCUAUGCCGCGUGAGUGAGGAAGGCCUUAGGGUUGUAAAACUCUUUCAGUGGGGAAGAUAAUGACGGUACCCACAGAAGAAGUCCCGGCAAACUCCGUGCCAGCAGCCGCGGUAAUACGGAGGGGGCAAGCGUUGUUCGGAAUUAUUGGGCGUAAAGGGCAUGUAGGCGGUUCGGUAAGUUAAAGGUGAAAUGCCAGGGCUUAACCCU
rnacentral:rRNA from 2 species